GGAGAACACGCCGGUUCAAACCGAUCUCCCUACUUUUCGCCAUCCCCAUAAUAUGUGCCAGGAGAGGUUCGUGUGGGAUGCUUCAAAGUUAAUACACGCACUCAUACAUUUCUGUUGUCUCACUAUACUGCUUUAAUCCUAAUGGAUUUUCUCGUUCUCGAGACAACUAUUUGCGAGGGAAAAAUAAUGAAGGCGGAAUAGAAAAUUAUAUCUGGAUAACUGCAAUUAGUGAUUAUUGGAGCUGACUCUUUUCAUCAAUUAAAAUGUUCCAGAGAAAAUAAUGUGAAAAUUGAAAAGUUUGUUGAGCACACACAACUUUCCAAAAACGGGUUUUGGUUAAUUUCUUCAAAGAAAAAAAAUGGAGAGCAAUGAAUAUCGAUAAUUUAAAGGAAUUUGGGGAAGAAAAAAAGUGCCAUAAUCGACUGUGUAAUUAAAUUGAUGUUCAUAGAAGAAUAUGAUAUUAUCAGAGUGAGAAAUGGAGUUUGUUGAAAUAAUUUCGCAGAAUGGAAGUUUCAAGCUAUAGAUAAAAUAUCAAAUUAUAUUGAAAGGGCAUAUGGGAGUGAAUUUAUUACAAAAGAUGCAAGGAUUAAAUUAUGUAAUGAAAAACACACUUUCUAUGAGCAGGGAAUCGGAUUGCGAGGAGUGAAAGUGUCGAGGGAUCGAUUUCCGCGUUUGUCGACACCAUUCCGCAUUAUUUUCCAUUGACCCAGUUAAAUUGGCCUUGAUCCUAUUUGGAAUUGAAUUGAAAUUUAUUAAAUUCUGGAGGGAAUUGAAAAUUUGUUAUAUACAACCGGCAACCUAUUGACACUUGUUAAUAAACCCUAAAGACAACUAUCAAACUGACACGAAAGGAUGAAUUUGUCUCUAUAAUCAGUGGUGUUCCUAAGAGUCUCUUUUCGAACUAUUUGGAAAUUCAACUUUUGUAUCAAUUAGAAAGAAUUUCGACUUCAUUUAACGUUUGGACGACCUGGGAAAAAUUUUGAUCCUGCAAAUUCAAUUUCCUUUUGAGUUUAAUUUCUUCUUCAGAAGAAAGAGGAAUUGAAAAAAUAAAAUCUACGAAAAUAAACAAAGGACAAUGCUGAAUUUCGAGGAGAGACUUACAUUUUGUUUCUGGCAGUAGAAAAUAAACGAAAGGCAAUGAGAGGAAAACGACAAUUGCACAGAGAAGGAAUACAUAUUUUUCGCCAAUUAAAU